CCGCGCCGGGGUGGAGGGGGAGCACGAGGGUGCUCAGUGCGCCCAAGAAGUGACGAGCGAUGGGAAACGCUGUCUCAGCUCCGCAGAGAACAUCAAAAGGCUGCUGCGCCCAUCCCGGAUUAAUAUACUCGUUGCACAAGUGUUAUCUUAAUCUGGUAGCCGUCCUUCAACAAGUUAUAAAUGAGAGCAACGUCUUUCUGUCAGUGGAUUUUUUUUAACCCGCCCAGAUUAUUUAUGAGAUGUUUGCAAUUCUGAGCCCCUAAGAGUAAUAACUUGUCCAAAUAAAUUAGCAUGAAAACUCCCUUGAUAUCCCCCAAAUAAUCAAAUUCUUUUGUCAACAACAUCCCCAAACAGUUUGCAUUGACUUUAGCAAAAGUUUGUUAGAAUUAGGGACUUAUCGUGAGGGACGACUCUUCCUCUGCGAUGGGAGGACUGUUAAUUUCCAAGUUAAAUAAUUGUUCUGUUUGGCAAAGAGCUUUCAUCAAGUUCUUCCUACAGCAAAAACUGGUAAGAAGAGAUAAAAACUAAGACAGUAGCGUGAGAUGCAUCAAAUGGGAAGGACCCUGACUCCCACCCUCCGUGGUCUCGCAGCUCCCGUGAGUAACAUCUGCCACCUUCCAGCGGCAAAAAUUGCGGACUUGCAUUUUCUCCUGACGUUUUAAUUGCUGGGUGUUAGAAAUAUUGCGAAAUACAGAAAUCCUGUGCAAACGCCGUGCGCAGAGAAGUCUCGCGGCCGCGAGGAGCUGUGCGGGAUUAAACCGUCCAGCGGGGCUCGUUUGCUGCGACUCCACAGAUUGCUCAAAACAGAACCAGAUGGGUUUUCCCUACUUUUUCCUUCAGAGAUCCUUUGGCAAACCAGCACACACAGGAAUAGUAGAGUUUUUAUGCAUGGGAAACACAGUCCAAAACUAUUUUAAUAAAAUAUUUGAAACUCCUAGAGGAUCUUUGUGUUGAGAGCUUGAGCAGGCUGUAAAUAAUUGAAGCAUUAACGAUAAUUUACACCCCUGGGACGAGCCGGAGAGGAUUACAACCUCAUGGAACCAUUUACCUUGAGAAAAAUGACAAAAUUUCCAAGGACUGAUGGUUCCUUGAGAGAAGAUUUGAAGCGGAGUCUGCACUUGGCUUGAGCCUAUCCGCUAUCAAUUCCAGUUCAUACGAAGACAUUUGCUCCGAUUAUUAUUAUAUCCCUGCCCUUUCUUGCCCUUGAAGUAUUGGCAUUGUGGCUCUGAAGACAGAUUCAAUUAACAAACCGGAUAGAUGCUGACCUUUCCCAGAUUGUUAUUCUAUCCUUGAUUUGCUUUAGGGGAGAAAUAUUUCUUUCACGUAGAAAUAUGAAAUAACAAAUAAAUAACCAACAAUUGAUUUGUAGUUAAAAAAAAAAAAAAAAAGGAAAGAGAGAGAGGGAAAGAAAGGAAAGAAAUGAACCGGUCGAGCACGGACACUGCUAUUAGCUGAGCAGCGUCAGGACUUUGGGCUGGGAUCACUCACCGAGCGAGCUGCCAUCCGUCACGGUUAAAGACUUGUCGGAGGAUUUCUGGAGUAGUUUCUCCAGGGAAUCAGAGAAUUGUCUCACCCCAUCACAGGUAAUCGGUGACGCCGGACGGCGGGGCUGAGAGCAGGACCAGGACUGGGACCUGGGCUGGGACCAGGACUGGGACGAGGAUGGUGCGCAACGAAUGCCUCUAGGCAACAACUUUCUCCAUUUAUAUUCAGACCCUCGUUGCUGCAUCACCCAGCAAGGCUUGUGCUUGGGCUCCUCUCCGAUUCCUCGAUCUUCCGGGCACUGCGAGUGUCGAUAAUUAUCACCCUGAUGAAGUCACGGGCAGUUGAGAAGAUCCCCAUCUCAGUCGUUUCUGGGAGGUAAAGAGACGCUGCCUUACAUUACUUUCUUCUGCCUUACAUUAAGGAAAACUGAAGGAAAGUCAAUUUGUUUUGAGAGGUUUGGCUGGGGAAGGAGACCUGGGGACAAGGAACGCGUGUCCCAAGUCCCCAGCUAACACCCUGGUGGCUGUAGCA